AAGAGCUACAGUUUGAGGCAUCACUCGAGGCAAAUGCUCUUACAGAAGCCACACUACACAGUGUCAAAGAAGACAACUACAUUUUAGUGCGGUAGCUACCAGCGUUAUAUUUUCAGUUCCCAAGCAUAUGAAGCAGAUCUGAUCAAUGAGUACUGUAAAACGUUGAUGUCAAUCACCACUGAAGAUAUUCGCUAUUUUCUUGUGAACAUACACUGAGGAUACCCAUUGUGCUCACUCUCUUCCAGUAUCUGGACAAGUCACAAAAAGGUGAUAUCAAGCCUCUGAAUGACAGGACAUCACCGCUGUGAGACUCCAACACUACUUCUAGACAAACAUUUAUUCUUAUUACCUUCUGUGUUUGUUGAAAUGUAUCAUAUGCACCUUACAUAUUGUUGUUUGGCCAACAAG